UUUAUUUUCCUCAGCAAAGUUUGCUUAUUUUAUCUAAGUUUCCCUCCACAGCAAGGUUGCUAAGAGACAAGGAGUAGAUCUUAUGCAAGAGUGAGUAGGAGAUGAGAGAAGUGUGUGUGAGAUUCCUUUUGCUAGAAUUGAAUUGCAUUUCUAUUGUGUGUUGUGUUUAGGGUGGUAGACUUGUAUAGGUCCCUUUUAGUGAGCUCAGUGAGCCUUUCUUUUUAAACAGCUGCUUAAAAUACUUUGGGGAAAUUGCAAAAUUGGGAGGAGACCCCAGUAGCUUUCCACUAGUUUUCUAGCAUUGCAUCUUGGAGACUUUGUGUAACACACACCUAUGCAAUUUUGGGGCAGUCGCCAUUUUAUCUGCCAUCUUGAUAAUUUUUGAAUUUCAACUUUAAGCAGAAAAGCAGCCUUACUUGUUUGAUAUUGGCUGGAACUUAUAAAUACCUGUAUGAGGUCAGAUUUAGCAGAAUAUAUGCUGUUAUUUUAUGCCUGAAUAGAAGAAGCCAUCGAUGGUUCCAAGAUCGGGAUAUUUUCCAACACCGGAUAAUUUCCAGGAUCGGGACAUUUCCCAAGGUCGGGUCGUUUAGGAGACUGGUGAAUUAUUAGUAAGCUGAGAAUAUAAAGCGCCGUCUUUGAUGGAGGUUUUCGGCCAACAGAUAAGUUAUUAUAAAGAACAGUGAGAGAGAAAGCAGGAGGACUUUUCUUUAAACGUGAACUCGAUUUCUGAAUAUCAGAAAGUCUAACGAUUGGAGAUUUGAGAUUGAAGAUACAGACAUUAAUUAUGACUGAACAGUUGAUUGAUAGAAGUAUUGAUUUGAAUUUGGAUCCUUGUAAGAUAUGUCGGAUGAUAGUCUUGAGCUAGAGUUUGGAGAACAGCUCAAGUUUCAGGUGUUAGAAGAUAAAAUGUGAUCAGAAAAAUAUAUUAGGUCAGAGAUACAAAAUGGUGAAAGUAGAAUUAUAUAUGAAGGUGGAUUAAUGCAGGAUCCUUUCAUAAUUAUGAAUGUUUGGUAGUUAUGAUUGUGAAAA